GACGUAGGGGCGCGAGCGUUUGUCCGGGAUUUAUUGGGCGUAAAGAGCUCGUUAGGCGGUUUGUCGCGUCGGGAGUCGAAAACUCAGGGCUCAACCCUGAGCGUGCUCCGAUAACGGGCAGACUAGAGGUAGUGCAGGGGGAGAACGGAAGUUCCUGGUGUAGCGGUGGAAUGCGCAGAUAUCAGGAGGAACACCGGUGGCGAAGGCGGCCACCUGGACGGUCACU
rnacentral:rRNA from 1 species